ACGCUCGACACCUACUGGAGGCAGCAGUGGGGAAUAUUGCACAAUGGGGGAAACCCUGAUGCAGCGACGCCGCGUGAAGGAAGAAGUAUCUCGGUAUGUAAACUUCUAUCAGCAGGGAAGAAAAUGACGGUACCNGACUAAGAAGCCCCGGCUAACUACGUGCAAGCAGCCGCGGUAAUCUGAGCGGCUGGCAAGC
rnacentral:rRNA from 1 species